AUAAACUCCCCGUUGGUUCCAUAGGAAUCUUCUACCAACUUUCGAGUCAUUCGUGACACGGUUUGUGAUAAACACUAAGGCACUCCCCAAUCAACUGAAUCAAAAGCUUUCCUCAAGUCUACAUUUAGAAUGCAUCUAGGAGAAACUCUUUUACGACCAUACUGCCUGAGGAGCUCUUGCAGCAAGAAAAUGUUUUCUAUCAUGCUUCUGUUUUGGACAAAGGCAACUUGAGCAGGAUCAACUAUGCUGCGCAAGGCUGGGGCCAAUUUGGAAGCUAUAAUCUUGGAUAUGACCUUGUACAUCACAUUGCAGCAGGCUAUAGGCCUGAAAUCCUCAACUUUGUCUGCAACUUUGGAUUUUGGGAUUAAGGCUAGCACAUGAUGAUUAAUUUGCUUGAGCAUCUGCCCCGAAGCAAAGAAUUCCUUAACAGCUUCUAUGAAGUCCCUCCCAAUAACAUCCCAAGCUUUUUUAUAGAAGCACGAGGUAUAACCAUCCGGGCCAGGGGCUUUAUCUUCACCAAUACUGAAAAGGGUAGAUUUAUUUUCCUCAUCAGAAACUUCCCUCAGCAGAAGGGAAGCUUGCUCUGCCUUCAAGAGCUUGCCUUUUAAAACUGUUCCCCUGUUGAGAUUGGUGCAUUCUCCUUUGGAACCCAGGAGCCCCUUGUAAAACUGAACAAAGGCCUCGCUGACUUGUUUGCUUGAAGUGGUUCUGCUCCCUUCUUCCAGAGAAAUAGAUGCUAUAUGAUUUUUGGACCUGUUGCUCUUGAUUAAAUCAUGAAAAAAAAUUGAACCUUUAUCUGAGUUCUUCAAAUAUUUGGCUCUAGCAAGCUGGGAACAAUAACUUAACUCUGCUUCAGCUAACUUUAAGGCUUUAGCUCUUAGCUCCGGAACAACCACCUGCAAAUCAUGAUUCUUUGGGCUGCCAUGCAAUUGCUGCUGAGCUCUAAUGAGAUCCUCUUCUGAUGCCUCUGCCCUAGCUACUAUAUGAGAAAAAUACUGCUUGUUUAAGUCCUUCAGAGGAACUUUAACUGCUUUCAGCUUCCUGCAGAACUUAUACAUAGUUGUUCCUCUCAGAUGCAUUCUCCAAGUGUUGCCAAUUAUUUCUAGAAAUUUGUCAUGCUUAGCCCACAUAUUGAAGAAUUUGAAGGGGUGGCACCACGAUCCUCCUCAUCAAAAAGGGAGACAGUACACGGGGAAUGGUCAGAGAAUUUCCCAGGAAAAUCAAAUCUGCAGGGGGCAGCAGACCUUUCAUGGACCCAAUGAGGUUGGACAUUGCUCUAUCCAAAACUUGUUCUAGACAGUAUUGUUGGACCAUGUAAAAUAGACGCCUGAGGAUCUCAGAUCAGAGAUGCCCGUAUCAUAGCAACAGUUCUUGAAGUCCCUCAUCUCAUAAAGGGUAACUGGAAGCCCAUUGGCUUUUUCCUCAAUACUUAGAACAUUAUUGAAGUCCCCCAACAGCAUCCAAGGCAUCCUAGAAUAGGAAUUAAACCUGCGACUGUUAUCCCAUCGGGGUCUUCUCCCCACCAUAGUAUUGAAAGCUUAAAUGAAACUUAAAUGAAUUUUUUUAGAUGAAAUCUUACAAGUGACCAGGCAGUGCAUAACCUGCUCCGUCUUCUCUAUAACCUCCAGGAGGACCCUGUCCUCCCUCCAGAAUACUAGGAUUCUGCCAUUCGGAUUGAGCUAGAAAUUAUUGUCUACCUUCAUGCUUUGAAAUUUUCCUAGACAAUUUCAUCAAGGUAAGCUGAGAGAGUUUAGAUUCCAAUCCAAUGAUGCUCACCGUAUUCUUCCUCCUAUACUUCAAAAUUCCAUUUCUGUUUGCGGGGUUUGUGAGGCCCCUUAUAUUCCAGAAUGCAAUGAUCAUGCUUGAUUAGGUUGGGGAGUCACCCUCCAUUGCCUGCCCACAAAAAUCAGCAAAGUCUACUGAUUUCCCAUACUUCUCCUGAUUCUUUUUGCCUCUCCUUUUCUUUCCUCCUCACCCAUAGCACUGAGGGGGUAGGAGUUUUAAAAAUGGAAUCUUUGUUUUUUUUGUUUUUUUGUUUAUGAGCCCUAGGAAUUGAGUUUCCAGAUAAAUGAAAAAGAGAACAUUUAAAGGCCAAGUGUAGAGAGAAAAGCUCUCAAGCUUUCUCAUGGGGACUCACUUGCUUUGUUCUCUGAUGAGAUUCUUGAUUUGUUCUUUGAUUUUCUUUCCUAUCAUGGAUCAAUCUCUAUUCCAACAGCUUGGUGUAUUAGGGUUAGAAUUGGUUUUUGAGCUGGUGGGGCCAGCCAGGAUCUGAAAUAUUCUGUAGAGAUAGUGAUUGACUCGUGAUCCCAGAAUCUGGAACUAGGAUUUGGAAGUUGCUGCUCGAGGAUUCAAGCUGGGCUUUGAGUGCAGUUGCAUCAAAGGCUGUGUUCUUGUGUUUUUGGUUGAAGAUUGCUGUGCUGGUGGAGCACAAUUGAGUUUUCGGGGUUCUGGUUGAAGAUUAUUGUGCCGGGUUGUGAGUAGCAGAGUUCUUGAGGUACUGAUUGAAGGUGCUGUGCUAAUUGUAAGAUCUAUUGUUCACGUUAUAGUAACUUUAUUCAAAAUUUCAAAUCUACGGGUGGGUCCAAGGCAACAUAAUUUAGCUCAAUUACAAAAUGACAAGGGUGAAAACUAAGAAAAAGAAGGGAGACCAAUCCUCUGUGGACCCAAUCCUUGUGACUGCAUUGGCUAGGCCAGCAAGUAGCUCCCAAAGUGGGAAUGAAGGCAAGGUUUGGUCUACCUUCAAGAAGCAAAAAGUUUGGACAAUCCACAUGCAGAUGAGGAGGAGAAGUGGGCAAACCAACUACAGGAUGACGAGAAGAAGUGCGCCAGAGUAAACACAUCUGGUUUCUCCUCCAAACUUGACUGAGGAGGAGUUGGAUCAGCCUAGCCAAAAAACACAACCCCCCCUUACUUGGAUUCCCCUCCAAGCUUGGUUGAGGACUUGAACGAGGCUCUGGGACAAACAAUUGAAGGAGGAGGGAUAGAGGAGGCUUCAGAAGCAGCAUCUCAAACCCAGGGAGAUGAAGACACAUAUAGCCUACCAGAUGAUCGAUAGAAGGCCCCAGAGAAAAAUGGGGUUGGUCAAGGUGCAUCAUCAGUUUCUGGGGUGGAAAGAAAAACUGGGGAAGUCACACAGAAGGAACAAAGAAAACCCUUUGUAAACCUAUUUCCCAAGAACAGAAUGCCAUCCAUAGUCAGCAAGCUGAAUUUCGUCAAGUUAGAUGAGGGGCCGAAGAUCAUAAUUCAGGAUGAAAGACAUUCAAGGGCUGAACAUCCCAUGGAAAAAAAGCCUAGUUGGGUAUUUUGGAGGAAAAUUUCCAAGAAAGCAAGCACUUAAUCAUAUUGUGAAAUCAUGGAAGGUUCAUGUCAAUGUCCAGCAUCAUGGAAGUGGAUGGAUCAUUUUCCAGUUUUCGGCUGAAUUUGUUUGCUGUUUUAGCUUCCAAAGUCUUCCCCACCACUGUGCUACCUGCUUUGUCUCUGCUUUCAUGCCUACUCGGCUGAGACCUGUCGCUUUUGUCUUCUUAAUAACCCAUCCGUUCAUUUGCCCCUUGUUCCUUCCCCUGGGUUCAACUCUGACUUUCUCCCUCCUCUGGCCCUGCUGCCCUAAUUCCUUCCCCUCUCCGGGUGGUCCAGCAGGCUUUGUGUUAGACUUCUUUGGUACUGGGGCUUUUAGAUGGGUUUUACACUUUCUUUGUGUGGCCCAUCAUCCUGCAUUGAGGGCAGAAUCUAGGAAGGUUUUCAUAGAAAAUAGCGCUCAUACCUACUCCACCCGGCCAGUUGAUAGAGAGGUCGCCGAAGGGUUAAGUCCUUGCUAGAUCUAUUUCCACUAAGCAUCUAGCAUAAGUCACUCUUCCCUUUUUAGUAGUUAGCUGAUCCAUUGGACUGUUGCCUAGCUUUGAGCAAAUUUUUUCAAACACACUUGGACCCCACAUAUCUAGUGGAACAGCUCAGCUGACCAUACAGGGAAAUGUGGAAAUGGCCUCAUUUUCAAUCCAAAGAUCUGGGCAAUGUUUUCAGCAAGAGGGGUCUUCCGUAGAUGGAAUAUAGGGACCGUUCCAGAACUUGCGUUAGGUCUUUCGUAGAUGAUAGGUCUUUCGUAGAUGAUAUAUAGACCCCUCUUGCUUGAAAACAUUUGCCCAGGAAGAUACUUUGGAUAUUUGAAAAUGAGGCCAUUUCCACUUUCGCUGUUUGGGGUCCAGCUGGUGAGGCAUGUUCCACUGAUAUGGGGGUCCAAGUGCGUGUUUGAAAAAAAUUGCUCAAGCUAGGCCCAAACCAGAUCAAAUGAUCAGCUAACUACUAAAAGGGAAAGAGUGACUUAUGCUGAUGCCCCUUAGUGCGAAAUCGAUCAUAGACAAGGACUUAACUCAUCUACCCUCUCUACAACAUGCGGUUUGGAGUAGAGUAUGAGCAAGAUAUUUCUAUGAAAAACCUUCACUAGAUUCUGCCUCAAGGCAGGGGAUGAUGGCCACACAAAGGAAAGCUGUAUUAUAAAACAUCUAAGGCCCCCGGAGAGUACCAAAGAAGUCAUAACAGCAAAGCCUGCUGAACCCAACUCGGAGAAGGGGAAGGAAUUAGAGGCAGCAGGGCCAGAGGAGGGAGGAAAGCAGAGUUUGAACCCAGGGGAAGGAACAAGCCAAAUGAAAGGGGAAUGGGGUAUAGAAGCCAAAAGCGAACAGGUCUCAGCCGAGUAGGCAUGCAUGACAAGCAGGACCCAAAGCAGGUGUUAAGACACAGUGGUGGGGAAGAAUUUGGAAGCUAAAACAGCCCCAAACAAAUUCAGCCGGAAAACUGGAAAAUGAUCCAUCCACUUCCAUGAUGCUGGCGGACAUUGACAUGAACCUUCCAUGAUUUACAAUAGGAUUAAGUGCUCUGCUUCUUGGAAUUUCCUCCAAAAUACCCAACUAGCUUUUUUUACCUGGGAUGUUCAGCCCUUUGAAUGUCUUUAAUCCUGAAUUAUGAUUCGGCCCCUCAUCUAACUGACGAAAUUCGCUGACUGAUCG
rnacentral:lncRNA from 1 species